ensembl:lncRNA novel transcript
GCAGACCGGCGCAUUUCAGAGUCAGCGACUAGCGGAUACCCAUGGGCUCCGGGCUAUUGUACCACCGAGAGGUGUAAACCCAACUGGAGUUUGCUGAAGGCAAGCUUCCAAGGUUCAUAGGCAGAAGGGACUUGCCUUAUCUCAGAUGAGACUUUGGACUUGGACUUUUGAGUUAAUGCUGGGAUGAGUUAAGACUUUGCGGGACUGUUGGGAAGGCACGGUUGUGUUUUAAAAUGUAAGAAGGACAUGAGACCUGGGAGGGACCAUGGGUGGAAUGAUAUGGUUUGGAUCUCUGUCCCCAGCCAAGUCUCAUGGCUAAUUGUAAUCCCCAGUGUUGGAGGAGGUGCCUGGUGGGAGGUGAUUGCAUCAUGGAGGUGAACUUCUCCCUUGCUGUUCUCAUGAUAAAGUUCUCACAAGAUCUGGUUGUUGUAAAGUGUGUGGCAACUUCCGCUUCACUCUCUUUCCCCUGUUACAAUGUUAAGAUGUGCUUGCUUCCCCUUCACCUUCCGCCAUGAUUGUACGUUUCCUGAGGCCUCCUCAGUAAUGUCUCCUGUAACAGUCUAUAGAACUGUGUGUCAAUUAAACCCCUUUUCUUUAUAAACUACCCAGUCUCAAGUACUUCCAUAUAGCAAUGUGAGAAUGAACUGAUAUAGCCAGUCUUUUCCUAGAAGAACCCUGGUGCCUGGUAUCUUCUAGGGCCUUGUGGCAUUGCUUCCUUUUACCAUAUUGCACUGCACAGAGCUCUAGGCCAGGAUGAUCCCUUAAAUAAGGGUGAUUUCCUCAUGAUUCAGAUGUUGGUGCCCAUCCUUUUAUUUCAUAUAUCAUCCAAAGACCCACCAAAGAUACGCCAUGCUAGGGGGUAUUCUCCAUCUCAGAAGAUUCCAUCUCUGAAGAACAGAAUAGAAAACUUCAUGGCAUCCUCUUGCUGCAGAGGCAGUAACAAAGCACCACUUAAGUCUUCAGCAGGUCAUUCUGUUAAUCAGUUAAGUCUUCAGUGGUACACCCCAUUUAAAAAACAAAAAUGCAAAAACUUAGUUAUACACAUAAAUGAAAGUUUCUCUUUUUAUAGGAGUCACUUGUUAUAUUACAAUUAUGCUGCCAUUGUUCAAGCACUUUUUGAAUUCUUCUUCAGAUUUUUUAGAUCCUACAGUCCAAUCUUUUUGUUACUUUUAAAGAGAGCAAAUAUUUAUACUUGAAAAUGGAUUUUAUUUUGGAAAGAGCCCAAUAUUAUUUGGCUUUGUUUUUUGAAUAAAAUCAGCAUGAAAAGCUGUUUUUGGUAGAAAAGGAGGUGAAACUGUAAAGUAAUGACACAUUUUUUGAGUCUUACUGAGGCCAAAAGGGGAUAUUCAAAUAUAGUGCCAGCAAUGGAGUGUGAGGGUAAUAAGUAUAGAGCUCCCUAAUGUGACUACACUAAGAAUGGGAAAUCUGAAUACAAAUAUUCUGGUGUAUUUGUGACCAACCUAGUCUGAUUACAUCUGUGAAGGCACAGCUUGCAUAUUUUGUCCAAAAUUCUUGUUGAGACUCUCUAGUUGUAGACCAAUGCAUCUCAAAUUUAUUGUGAACCUGAAUCCCCUGAGUUGUCAUUAAAAUCAGAUUUGCUUCAAGAUUUGAAUGGCCUGGGUCCUGAGAAUCUGCAUUUCUUACCACUCCCAGGUGAGUUUGCACAUGGAUAUUGCUACCCAUGCUAAGUUACACUUGGGUUGGUUUGUUCCUUAGUAAAAUAUUUGUUUGUGCUCAUGUACAUAUGAACUUUGCCUUGGAACAGAGAAUUUUUUGUGUACUUUAUCGAUGAAGAAGCGGCAAUGACCUGUGCCAUUUUCCUUACAUUGGAUGUUUUCUUUGUUCAGAAUGUAACAGAAAUUUCCAUAGAAGUAUGAAAAAGUAGUUUAAAUGUUCAACUUAAUUAAUAUUGUAUAGCAGAUAUUAUCACAUGAGAAAAAGCAAAGUACACUUUGAUAUAUUUAAAGCUGCUAUUUCUGAUUUGACAGUUUUUGAAACUGAUGUAACAAAAGUGCUCUUGCUAGCUGGCUAAAAACAAAAUCUUUAUUUCACAGCUAAAAUGUAAAUAGCUAAGAUAUACUCGGAGGACUAAAUUUCACAGCUACAAAAACACAGCUGUGAAAUAUAACUUUAGAGUUUAAUAAAGGCAAAUAGUUUUGCAUGCUAACAAUGGAUAUUAGAAAUAAAGAUGAGAAUGAUUUUGUUAGAAUUUUUUAGUGUUUAAAUACCUUCACUAAUGUAGCCUGUUUAAUUGAGAACAUUCUCAAGUUACCUGCCAUAAAUGUGUUUAUUUAUUGAAUGCUUACUAUGUGUAUCUUGCUAGGAAUUAGUGAUACAGAAAUGAAUGUGAUAUUAUUU